AUAUCUUUAGCAAUUAGACUUCUGAAAAUUGAAUAUUGGAUUAAGAAUUGGAAAAUAUUAAAAUAGUCCACUUAUCAAAUACAUUAUUUUAAACCCCAUAAAAAAUCGCUUCUCGGCCUUUUGGCUAAGAUCAAGUGUAAACCCCAUAAAAUACUAGGACUUGAAAAAAUUUAUGUGACAGCACAAUGAUUAAACUCAUUCUUUAUCUUUCUAAAAAGGAAAAAAAGAAAACACAAAGAAAGUCAUCAGUUGACUUAGAAAUUCAGUUUCUCUACAGGCUCCACCUUUUAAAAAUUUCAAUUAACUUUAUGCUAUAAGAUCAAUUUUGUUGUAUCCGGGUAGUUAACAAGAAGGGAAAUGGUAGAGGGCAAGAUGCUAUUGGCAAAGAACGUGCCAAAGUCGGUAGAAAACUUUUAAUGAGAAUCCUAAUGUUCCAAAAUAAUUCAUAAACUUGGCAAAGUAGCAUCUUGGGAAUAAUUUAGUCUAGAAAUAUAUCAGUUCUGUGAUAAAGGAAAAUGUGAGUUCAUAAAAACUGUCAGAAUGUGAUACAACUGAAUCCUUCAAUCUGAGGCAUUGAUAUGCAUGAAGGUAGCACCAUGUCCUCCAAUAAUGACUGUUUCAGGGUUUCAUGUUGGAUUAAAUUUAUAUAUUAAUUUGUUUUUUUAAAAUACAACAUGUUAUAUGAAGAUGGCCAAAAAGAUGACAUAGCAUUCAGAGAAACCACACACUUUAUUUGCAAACAUUUCAAAGUAGAUGCUUUAUUGUUUUCAAACUAAAAGGAUUAUUUAUAAACCAAUGAUUAUUUAAAUUAAUAAGCUUUAUGUUGGGGGACUGUUUUAGGUUCACAGCAAAAUUGUGUUACAAUCAAUGAACCCAUAUUGACACACCACUUCCAAAGCCCACAGUUUACAUCAAAGAUGAAAGCUCUUGAUGUUGCAAAAUCUUUGGGUGUUGGGCAAUAUAUAAUGACAUGUAUCUCCCAUUAUUUUA
rnacentral:lncRNA from 1 species